rnacentral:lncRNA from 1 species
CCAGGAUGGCCUCCCAUGCCAGGACCCCCAGUACCAUGCUGGCCAGAAGUCGCAGGGGAGAAGCUCUCAAUAUCUCGCCCCUAAAAAUGCCGCUGCCCCAGGUUUUCUAUACGUUCUCAUUACUAGUUAAGGAUGCUCCCUUCAAUCAGCGGAGGCUAUAGGGGAGCCCAACAGUGGCCUGGAAGAGGCCCACCCAGAAAGGGACAGUUGAUGACUGAUUGAGAGUGGAGGACCCUGGGAUCAGGCAGCUGCUCCGGCCACUGAGGUGACCCAGAGCUGAAGAAAGAUCAACAUGUACAGCUUGGCGAGGAUGCUCCGUCCACUCAGAUACUCCUGGAGCUUCUGGGCAGCCCCAAGAAGAGCCCCAAGUGUUAGCCCUGGCUUGAGCCCCUCCCUCUGCCCCAGCAAUGCCCCCACGGGUCCCGCCCACCAGCCCAGCCCUCCCCACCGUGAGGUAGAAGGUUUCGGUCUCCUGCUGCUGGCCGCGCCUCCGGCCCGCCUGCCGGCUGCCUGGGUCUGAGCUGGUGGACUUGAGGGACUCGGUGGAGGGGCUGGUCUGGAAGGAAUCAAGCACAUCCCCGUCAUCUGAGGCCACCACCUCCAGCAGGGCCUGCAGUGUUGCCUUCAGAGUCUUGUUCACCUGCAGAGGAGACCACACCAGGGUGGUAAGAGGUGGGGGACAGGGAGGGAGACAGGAAGUCCAAGUCAGAAGGAAGGGGCCAGAGGGAGGGGGGCAGGCAGGGCAGCCACUUCCAACAGCAGGCUGUACAGGCUCCAGGCCCUCGUCUCCCUCUAACCCCCGGUGGGCUGCCCAGACCUCCUCUGUCUCAAUGGUCUGUCGGUCCAGGCGGCUCUGGAUGUUCUGGGCUCUGGGCAGAAUCUCGUCCCGCAGCUCCAUUUCAACGCAGAUCUCAGCCACCUGCAGAGGGCGGCGGCCAGGGGGCUAAGGGCUGGGCUUGGGCAGUAGGUGCCAAGAUCCCCGGGGCAUAAGGGAAGCAAGCACCCUUUUGUGGCCUGGCGGCCGGGCACAGGACCACCAGCCCAGACGCUCAGCUGAAGAAUGGCAGAAGUGAACACACGCGUCCAAACCAAGACUUGUCCACAGAGGUUCAUGGCGGCAUCACUCAUCCGACUGACGGAUGGCUAAACUCAGCGCGGUCUACCCACAGAAUGGAAGAGGAUUCAGCCACGAGAAGGAAUGAAUCCACUUAUGUAAAGUGUCCAGCCAGGCAAAUCCAUACAGACAGGAAGCAGAGUGGGUGCCAGCUGGAGUAGUGGGGUGCCAGUGGGGCUGGAGAGGGGAACGGGGAGUAGUGGCUAAUGGCUCCUUUAGGGGGUGACAAAAAUGUUCUGGAAUUACAUGGUGAUGGCUGCACAACUCUGAAUAUACUAAAAACCACCGAAUUGUACACUUUACAGUGGUGAAUUUUAUGGUAUAU